GGGGGCAGGGGACCCGGGGGGGGGCGGGGUCCCGUGGUCCCGUGGUCCCGGGGGCAGGGGGGGGCGGGGGACCCGGGGGCAGGGGGGGGGGGGUCCCGUGGUCCGGGGGGCAGGGGACCCGGGGGGGCAGGGGUCCCGGGGUGUUCCUUGGUCCUCUGUGCGUUAUCUUCGGCCCCUCAAUGUGUGAAGGGCAGCGGCCUGGUGGCUUUGGUCACCCUCAGAGGAAGGCUCUUGUUCCCUUUUUUAUUUUUUUAUGGAUUUUCCCGGACUGUUUUCCUGGUCGGACAGUGGGGCAACACGGAGGGGUACCCCGUGAAAAGAAAACACUGUUUGAAACCAAUGAAUUGUUAUUUGCUUCAAUGUUAAGAGCUAUGUUAUGAAAAAGUGUUUCAGGUGCUAAGGAAAUGUUUCUAUUUAAUUUGAAUGGGAUAGAUGGCUAGCUGCAGGGUUCCCACAGUUAAACCCAGCUCUUCACCCCCCUGUCUUCAUCUCCAUGGCGUGUUGCUCGUCUAAUAACCCGGGUUCUGACUCUGGGUUCUGACUGGGUUCUGGGUUCUGACUCUGGGUUCUGACUCUGGGUUCUGACUCUGGGUUCUGACUCUGGCUACGGGUGGUCAACCUGAGGACGGGACAAACUGGGCAGGGCCUCUGAGGGGACUGACCAGCAGUCAUUUUGUGGAUAUUAGUGCGUGUGUUGCACAAACAAUUCUUGUUUUUUAAGAAAGAUUAUAAAGGCUUGAUAUAUUUAUUUUGUAAAAUGUUUAUUUUCUAUAUGAUUGCGUGAUGUUUGUUUGCUGUGUCGACACUUGGCCAAUCCCUUUGUUAGAUCUCCUGCCCCUUACUACUGUCCUCUGAAGACUGGAGAUGAUUCUCAGUACUGCGUUUCAGCUACAUCACGGCUCAGGUUCCUUGGUGGUGACGUUAGCCCACAUUGCAUAUUUUCAAAAUAAAAAUGUUUUCUGGGCUUUGGCUUUUUAUGUCCGUUUCUGUUAAAGGGGACAGUUCUGGUUCAAGAAAUAUAUGGUUGUGUGAGCGCAAUUACAUAAACAUUGGUGAAAUGUAACAUUGACUUUUAAUUUGCACUUUGUCAUAAAGUAGAUUGUUGGAGGAAAACAGCUCAAAUAUGAGGCCUUCUCUCCGUAUUCCUUUAGUCUUUAAGAUCACGCCGUCAAAGAAUGAGUCCACUACGGAGAUCAGUGCAGAGCUGCUUUUGUCUGUCCCCAUCUGUCCCCAUUCUUUGGCUUCAAAGACCUGUUGCAAAUAUGUGAGAGCUUCUUUAGUCUGAGGGGGCUAUGGAGGGCAUUGUUUGGGUGUAAUCAUUAACUCAAUCAAAUAGAAUAGCUUACAAAACAACAGAUUGAAAAACCUAACGUAGCUCCAUUUCUAACACCAUCUGAACCUGUCCACCUUCUGUGAGGACCCUGACGGCUGCAUCACCGUGGGGUCCGGGAGAGGCUCCAACCGCCGGACCCUGCAGCGCACGGGAAGGCUGCAGGGUCCGGGAGAGGCUCCAACCGCCGGACCCUGCAGCGCACGGGGAAGGCUGCUGGGUCCGGGAGAGGCUCCAACCGCCGGACCCUGCAGCGCACGGGGAAGGCUGCUGGGUCCGGGAGAGGCUCCAACCGCCGGACCCUGCAGCGCACGGGGAAGGCUGCUGGACGGGCCGUCCCACUCCCCUCCCUCCUGGACAGCUACGGGACCGCCCCCCCCGCAAAGCAACCAGCAUAGUGGGGGACGCCAGCCACCCCUCAGCAUAGUGGGGGACGCCAGCCACCCCUCAGCAUAGUGGGGGACGCCAGCCACCCCUCAGCAUAGUGGGGGACCCCAGCCACCCCUCAGCAUAGUGGGGGACCCCAGCCACCCCUCAGCAUAGUGGGGGACCCCAGCCACCCCUCUGCAUAGUGGGGGACCCCAGCCACCCCUC
ensembl:lncRNA